UACGUAGGGUGCAAGCGUUGUCCGGAAUUAUUGGGCGUAAAGAGCUCGUAGGCGGUCUGUCGCGUCGGCUGUGAAAACUCGGGGCUCAACCCCGAGCCUGCAGUCGAUACGGGCAGACUAGAGUGCGGUAGGGGAGACUGGAAUUCCUGGUGUAGCGGUGAAAUGCGCAGAUAUCAGGAGGAACACCAGAGGCGAAGGCGGCCGACUGGACCUGACCUGACGCUGAGGCGCGAAGGCGUGGGGAGCGAACGGG
rnacentral:rRNA from 1 species